rnacentral:rRNA from 1 species
GACGAACGCUGGCGGCGUGCUUAACACAUGCAAGUCGAACGGAAAGGCCCUGCUUUUGUGGGGUGCUCGAGUGGCGAACGGGUGAGUAACACGUGAGUAACCUGCCCUUGACUUUGGGAUAACUUCAGGAAACUGGGGCUAAUACCGGAUAGGAGCUCCUGCUGCAUGGUGGGGGUUGGAAAGUUUCGGCGGUUGGGGAUGGACUCGCGGCCUAUCAGCUUGUUGGUGGGGUAGUGGCUUACCAAGGCUUUGACGGGUAGCCGGCCUGAGAGGGUGACAGGCCACAUUGGGACUGAGAUACGGCCCAGACUGCUACGGGAGGCAGCAGUGGGGAAUAUUGCACAAUGGGCGGAAGCCUGAUGCAGCAACGCCGCGUGCGGGAUGACGGCCUUCGGGUUGUAAACCGCUUUCGCCUGUGACGAAGCGUGAGUGACGGUAAUGGGUAAAGAAGCACCGGCUAACUACGUG